UGAAAUGCGAAAAGUAAUGCGAUUUGCAUGAAUCUGUGAGUCAUCAAGUCUUUGAACGCACCUUGCACCGUGUGAGCAAUUGCACGGUAUACCUGUUUGAGAAUCGUAAAAACCUACUUCCAAGGUUCCUUGGAGACUUGUCGGUUGUCGCAGCGAUGCGACUCUGAUCAAAGGUAGUAGGCUGGGCCCCACUAGUGGUCCGGGACAUUGUGUGAUAGAGGUGCCUUGUUCGCUUCGGCGGCCCGAGGUCCUUCUCACAGUGCGUCCUGGAUCAACUCAAAGCUGGUGGGCGUCAUCAUGCCUUACAGGAGUAAUCCACCCUUCUCUUUUGAUCUCAAAUCAGGUAAGGCUACCCGCUGAACUUAA
rnacentral:misc_RNA from 1 species